rnacentral:rRNA from 1 species
CGGCGAUUAAUCUGAGUAUCUAGUGGGCCAUUUUUGGUAAGCAGAACUGGCGCUGUGGGAUGAACCAAACGUCGAGUUAAGGGGCCUAAAUGAAUGCUCAUUCAGAUCCCAUCGAAAGGCGUUGGUUGCUAUAGACAGCAGGACGGUGGUCAUGGAAGUUGGAAUCCGCUAAGGAGUGUGUAACAACUCACCUGCCGAAGCAACUAGCCCUUAAAAUGGUAUGGCGCUAAAGCAUUCUCCCGAUACUCGACCGCCGGGGCACUAGCGGCCACGUCCCAGAGGCGAGGUCUCGAAGCCCCGGUGAGUAAGAGGGUCGCAGUGGUGAGCGCUGAAGGGAUCCGGCGUGAGCCGGCCUGGAGCCGCCACUGGUGCAGAUCUUGGUGGUAGUAGCAAAUACUCGAGAGAGACUCCCUUGAAGACCGAUGUGGAGAAGGGUUCCAUGUGAACAUCAGUUGGACAUGGGUUAGUCGCUCCUAAGCCCAAGGCUAAGGCCUGAUCCCAUGCUAGCGGC